rnacentral:tRNA from 1 species
GGCAGUUUAGCUUAAUGGUAAAGUACUCAGCCGGUCUCUGAAAGUUGUGGGUUCAUGUCCCGUGGCUGUUU